rnacentral:rRNA from 1 species
AACCACGCUCGCACACCGCAGGUAUCCACCCACUCGUCUUUGUGUUGCGUGCCCCGCCAAACCCCCGCAACUCUUUCCCCGAUCCGGCGGCGACCACGACCUCCUCGCCGGCCCCAGCGCCACCGCCGCGCCAUGGACCCGGAGGCGGUGCGGAGGACCCUCGAGCCCACCGCUUCCGCCGCGGACAUCUCGGGCUCCACCCCUUACGACUCCUUCGUCAUCAGCGGCGUCCGCCUCGAGGCCGCCGAGCACGGCCGCGUCCUCUGCUCCUUCGUCGUCACCCCCCGUAUCGCCAGUCCCCAAGGGUACCUUCUCAGCGGCGUCACGGCAACGCUCGCCGACCAGUUGGGCUCGGCCGUGUUCUUCUCCAGCGGGGUGGGCACGAGCGGGGUCUCCCUCGAGAUCAGCGUGUCCUACGUCGACACCGCCGCCGUCGGGGAAGAAAUAGAGGUUGAGGCGAAGCUAUUGCGUGCUGGAAAAUCAGUGGGUGUUGUCUCUGUUGAUUUCAGGAAGAAAAGGAGCGGCAAAUUGAUGGCUCAGGCGCGUCAUACAAAGUACCUUGCUGUAUCUAGCAGAUUGUGAGGAUUCCCUUCAGUUGUAAGAUAAAAACAUGGUUCUGUCGAGCUCUUCGCUGCCCUUUAUCAAUAGACAACAUCAGCACAACGUAGUGCUACAUUGUUUAAGAAAGGCUGGCUAUAUCUAUCUGAAAUUCUGCAACACAUAUUGCUCUGCUCAUUUCAUUUUCGCCUUUCAACCUUUGUCAGAUACUAAUAUCUUCGAAAGAGUACAGUGCCUGUUUGGACUUUGGAAGGCAGGAACUGCACAGAAAAUGGCGUAAGUCCUCUGAAUUUCAUGCCAAAUUCCAGCCAGCAUUCCAAACAAGGCCCUAAGAAAGACGGGGCAGCUGGAAAGUAUAACACCUGUAAAAUCCUAUUGUAUUGAUGCUUAAUCUUCAACUGAUGGAUUACUGUAGUCUGCCCUCAUCUUGAGGGAGACAGAUUUCCCCCUCGUUCAUUAUUGUAUAAUUGGCGUGGU